UAAUUUAAUUACUAUUAUCUACCUAAAUAAAUAAACUUUAAUAAUAAUAUAUCUAAAUCAACGUAAACUACCUAACUAAAUAACUUAAUUAAAUAAUUUAUAUUGUUCUACACUAAUAAAAUAAAUAAAAUAAUAAAUCUACAAGCAAACCCGCGCGAAACAAGUUGUUCAAUAUUUCUUUUGUUCUCUGUCGAGCGGGCGGGCUGUUUUUUAUGCAUGCGCAAGCGACGCGCCUACGGCCUCGAUGCUCCCGCCGCGUCUCGUAGUCCGAGCCAGAGCGUUAAUGAGCACGGACGUAUCGCUGUCCGUCACCGCCGGACCCGCGAUGUACGUAACCUUAUAAAACUACAAAUAUGUAAUCGCGUAUUGGUGAACCCCGCUACCGGGGUUCACGUUUACCUUCACGCUCAUCUUCUUCACUACAAAAACCUGCCAUGCAUGGUCACCACUGCCGAAACUACCACCUGGGUCUUCAACCCGGCAGAGCUGCCUGCCGUGUCGGACGGCCCGUGCGCACAUUCUAAGUGGCCCUACACCACAGUGCGUACGGCCCUAACCGUCUGGCGCGUCGACGACUCUGCGGGCCUACCAUCAAGAAGAACCAACCCACAUCACCAUCAAUGCUAGCGAGGACAGUGGUUUGAAUAUACUACCCCGGUGACGAAUCUCGUGCGAUAUGAUAGUUAGCUCGUAACCCACACCCUUAAGGUCUCUUACUCUUAAUUGCAAUAAAUGACUUGUUAACCUAAACUAUCUUUUAUUUCUCUAAUAACUCUAAAUUCUAAUUAUGUCAUGGCUCUAAAGCUCCAACCGUGACAUUUUGUUAACCUAAACUAUCUUUUAUUUCUCUAAUAACUCUAAAUUCUAAUUAUGUCAUGGCCCUAAAGCUACCAACCGUGACAUUGGCGCCCAUACCGGUCUAUUCUAUCGCACUUGAGACGUUACCAGUGAGUUUUACUUGUAAUGAAUGGUUAUUUUUGGUGUUGGCAUUCAAAUAACUUAGUUAUAAGAUUGUAACUAAUAUUGUAAUCUCUGUGUGGUAGUACUAAACUUGUAAUUUUUGUGGAGAAUAGCUACACUAUUCUACCUACUAUAAUUUUGUUGAACAUGAAAUGUAUCUACCUACAUUUUAUAAUAUUAACUAAAUUCUACCUACCUUUGGUAAUAUUAUUUAAAUUUUAAUCACUACCUACCACACAUAGAUUUUGUUUAACUAAAUUGUAAUACUUACUGUCUUAUUGUGUAAAUUGCAACACACACCCGCGUGCCUACCUAGUAUUUUUUUAUAUUACGUACUCGGUAAUUCUAAUCUAAAAUAUAUAUUUAACUUGUAACUGAAAACGUUACUUCUAAAUAAACUAUUAAAUUAAAUAAUAAAUUGUAAAUACUACUAAAAAUAAACAAUUUAUUAUACCUACUCGUAUCUUACCUACUGGUAUCUCUUAAACCUAUAAUUGAAAAUCUACCUUAAUUAAAAAGUCUAAAACUAUUUUUAACUGUCUUGUCUGACGCACCAUCUAAAAUGGAUUGCAAGGUACACUCUACUUAGUACCUCUUUGCAUUGCUUAGGACUUAAGAUAGGAAGUUGUUGGGUGCAGCAGUUGCUAAACAACUGCGCAUACUUGUAAUUAGCUGUAGUCUACCCUACAGAUAAUAUUCCGACCUCUUCAUUAAAUAAUGGUUAUCUUAUGACUUUCUCUAAAUCUUAACUUAAUGAAUCUUGUGAGUAUUAUGAGAUCUACUAAAAAUCAUAUACUCUGUACGUCAGGUUGCAAGUAAACAGACCUAAAAUGUUUAUUUUGUUAGUCAGACUCAAGAUUAGCUAGUACAGUUGAGAUAGCGGAUUUUCCUUAGGUAAAAUCCUACCGUAAAAAGGGGGAUAUGUAACGGUUAGCGUUACCGCUGACCGUUAUCUUAGAUCUAAAUUCUAAUUUAAUUACUAUUAUCUACCUAAAUAAAUAAACUUUAAUAAUAAUAUAUCUAAAUCAACGUAAACUACCUAACUAAAUAACUUAAUUAAAUAAUUUAUAUUGUUCUACACUAAUAAAAUAAAUAAAAUAAUAAAUCUACAAGCAAACCCGCGCGAAACAAGUUGUUCAAUAUUUCUUUUGUUCUCUGUCGAGCGGGCGGGCUGUUUUUUAUGCAUGCGCAAGCGACGCGCCUACGGCCUCGAUGCUCCCGCCGCGUCUCGUAGUCCGAGCCAGAGCGUUAAUGAGCACGGACGUAUCGCUGUCCGUCACCGCCGGACCCGCGAUGUACGUAACCUUAUAAAACUACAAAUAUGUAAUCGCGUAUUGGUGAACCCCGCUACCGGGGUUCACGUUUACCUUCACGCUCAUCUUCUUCACUACAAAAACCUGCCAUGCAUGGUCACCACUGCCGAAACUACCACCUGGGUCUUCAACCCGGCAGAGCUGCCUGCCGUGUCGGACGGCCCGUGCGCACAUUCUAAGUGGCCCUACACCACAGUGCGUACGGCCCUAACCGUCUGGCGCGUCGACGACUCUGCGGGCCUACCAUCAAGAAGAACCAACCCACAUCACCAUCAAUGCUAGCGAGGACAGUGGUUUGAAUAUACUACCCCGGUGACGAAUCUCGUGCGAUAUGAUAGUUAGCUCGUAACCCACACCCUUAAGGUCUCUUACUCUUAAUUGCAAUAAAUGACUUGUUAACCUAAA